rnacentral:tRNA from 1 species
GGCUCGGUGGCUGAAGGGUAAAGCGUUUGGCUUCCGAACCAAGUGUCCCAGGUUCGAAUCCUGGUGAAGACU